GCCCACGGGGCGCUCACCGCAUCACUGCCAGCCGGCUGCGUGGACGAAACUGCCCGUGGCUUAGAUCAAGAGACAAAACCUGGACUCGGAUUCCA
rnacentral:lncRNA from 1 species